rnacentral:rRNA from 1 species
UACGUAGGGGGCAAGCGUUGUCCGGAUUUACUGGGCGUAAAGAGCGUGUAGGCGGCUACGCAGGUCCGUUGUGAAAACUGGAGGCUCAACCUUCAGACGUCGACGGAAACGGUGUGGCUAGAGUCCGGAAGAGGAGAGUGGAAUUCCUGGUGUAGCGGUGGAAUGCGCAGAUAUCAGGAGGAACACCGGUGGCGAAGGCGGGUCUCUGGGCAGUAACUGACGCUGAGGAGCGAAAGCGUGGGGAGCGAACAGG